UUUCUUUCCGGUUACUAAAUAAUUUUCUUUUCACUAAUCAGCUAUUGGGCGGCGCGCAUCAAAUUUCGCCGACAAAUUACGUGAAUAAAAGUUACUAAAAUGAUUUAAAAUUGCUAUAAAUUUACAAUAAAGCGUAUAAAAUACUGCAUAGUUAAAAAAAAACGAAGAUAUUAAGCGAAUCUGGAUAAAUUUACUCAAAUUUAAGAUGCUGCACAAUGAAUACUAUUAACUACGGCUCAGGCUGCUAAAUGAAGAUAAAAUGUGCUAAAUGAGCAAAUAAUACUUCACUGAUUGAUCCGAAAAACUCCACUAGAAUUGAUGCAUGAAUUGACGUGGAAAUCUUCAAAAUCUUCACUUAGUGGAAAACAUCCAACAAAAUGCUGCUUUUCAGCCUAAAAUCCAGCAUAUUAAUAUUUUGUUUGUAUUUUAUAAGCUAGUUGUAGAAAAAUCGGUAUUGUUCCUAAAUGUUAAAUGUUUAAAUUUUAGGUUAACUUGAAUUUAAACCAAAAAGCAGCAAAAUGCUGUUUUAAAAUUAUGAAAAACUUUGAUUAAUUAGAAAGACUGAAAAGUGUAUAUGAACAUGAAAAAAAAAUGGACUGAAAUGUAUAGUUGAUAAGGUGAAAAUGAAAUUGAAAGUAUGAAAAAAAUUAAUGAAAAAUAUAUAUAAAAUAAAAUGAGAAAAUAAUGAUUGAAAUGAAAACAUAAAAA